GACGAACGCUGGCGGCGUGCCUAAUACAUGCAAGUAGAACGCACAGUUUAUACCGUAGCUUGCUACACCAUAGACUGUGAGUUGCGAACGGGUGAGUAACGCGUAGGUAACCUGCCUGGUAGCGGGGGAUAACUAUUGGAAACGAUAGCUAAUACCGCAUACUAUUGAUUAUUGCCUGAUAAUUGAUUGAAAGUUGCUAUUGCAUCACUACCAGAUGGACCUGCGUUGUAUUAGCUAGUAGGUGAGGUAACGGCUCACCUAGGCGACGAUACAUAGCCGACCUGAGAGGGUGAUCGGCCACACUGGGACGGAGACACGGCCCAGACUCCUGCGGGAGGCAGCAGUAGCGAAUCUUCGGCAAUGGACGAAAGUCUGACCGAGCAACGCCGCGUGAGUGAAGAAGGUUGUCGGAUCGUAAAGCUCUGUUGUAAGAGAAGAACGGGUGCGAGUGUGGAAAGUUCACACAGUGACGGUAUCUUACCAGAAAGGGACGGCUAACUACGUG
rnacentral:rRNA from 1 species